UACAGAGGGGGCAAGCGUUGUUCGGAAUUACUGGGCGUAAAGAGCUCGUAGGCGGCUUGUCGCGUCGAAUGUGAAAACUUGGGGCUCAACUCCAAGCUUGCAUUCGAUACGGGCAGACUAGAGUGCGGUAGGGGAGAUCGGAAUUCCUGGUGUAGCGGUGAAAUGCGCAGAUAUCAGGAGGAACACCGGUGGCGAAGGCGGAUCUCUGGGCCGUAACUGACGCUGAGGAGCGAAAGCAUGGGAGCGAACAGG
rnacentral:rRNA from 1 species